rnacentral:RNase_P_RNA from 18 species
GAAGUCAGCCGGACAGCCGCCGCCCGCUUGCGGGGGGAGGAAAGUCCGGGCUCCGCAGAGCAGGAUGCCGGCUAACGGCCGGGCGUCGCGAGGCGACGGAAAGUGGAACAGAGAGCAGAACCGCCGAUGGCCGGGGCAACCCGGCACAGGCAAGGGUGAAAAGGUGGACUCCUUCACGGAGCCGCCGGGUGCAAACCCGGCGCGGUAAGAGCGCACCGCGGACGUGGCAACACGGACGGCAGGCUAAACCCCAUCCGGAGCAAGACCAAACAGGGGGCAUUGACGUGGCUCGCGUCGUCCCCGGGUAGGUUGCUGGAGCGCACGGGUAACCGUGCGCCUAGAGGAAUGGCUGUCUGAGGUGGCAACACCCGAACACAGAACCCGGCUUACAGGCUGACUUCACCC